GCUUUAUGAUGACUUCUCUUGAACUGAGCAAAUUGGAGUUGGUCCUUCAUUUGCAUAUGAUGUUGUCUUGUUUCAAGACGGGACUGAAAGCAGU
ensembl:snoRNA SNORD21 Small nucleolar RNA SNORD21